rnacentral:rRNA from 1 species
GACGAACGCUGGCGGCGUGCUUAACACAUGCAAGUCGAACGGAAAGGCCCUGCUUUUGUGGGGUGCUCGAGUGGCGAACGGGUGAGUAACACGUGAGUAACCUGCCCUUGACUUUGGGAUAACUUCAGGAAACUGGGGCUAAUACCGGAUAGGAGCUCCUGCUGCAUGGUGGGGGUUGGAAAGUUUCGGCGGUUGGGGUUGGACUCGCGGCUUAUAAGCUUGUUGGUGGGGUUGUGGCUUACCAAGGCUUUGACGGGUAGCCGUCGUGAGAGGGGGACCGGGUUCUUUGGGACAGGGGUACGGCCCGCCCUCCCAGGGAGGCGACACUGGGGGGACAUGUUUGAACGGGCGGAAGCCGGGGCCCGCAACCCCGCGUCGGGGAAAGGGCCCUUCGGGUGGAAAUCGCCUUUCGCCUGGCAGGAAGGGGCAGGGCCGGUAAUGGUGAAAAAGGCACCGGCCAACACCGC